rnacentral:rRNA from 1 species
GACGAACGCUGGCGGCGUGCUUAACACAUGCAAGUCGAACGGAAAGGCCCUGCGUUUGUGGGGUUACCGAGUGGCGAACGGGGGCGUAACACGUGAGUAACCUGCCCUAGACUUUGGGAUAACUUCAGGAAGCUGGGGCUACUACCGGACAGGAGCUCCUGCUGCAUGGUGGGCGGGGGAAAUUUUCGGCGGUUGGGGAUGGAUGCGCGGCUUAUGAGCUUGUUGGUGGGGGAGGGGCUUACCAAGCCUUGGACGGGUAGCCGGCCUGAGAGGGUGGCCGGCGACAUUGGGACUGAGAUACGGCCCAGACUCCUACGGGAGGCAGCAGUCGGGAACAUGGCCCAAUGGGCGGGAGUCUGAGGCAGAAACGCCGCGUGCGGGAUGACGGCCUUCUGGGUAUAAACCGCUUUCGCCUGUGACGAAGCGUGAGUGACGGUACUGGGUAAAGAAGCACCGGCUAACUACGUG